ACCGGAGUUAAAAGACCCUGAAACCAUAUACCUACACAGCGGUUGGAGCGGCGCAAGCCGUGACAGCGUGCCUGUUGAAGAAUGAGUCCGCGAGUUGGCGUGUGCGGCGAGGAUAAUUCCCUUAAGGGACGCAUUCGAAGGGAAACCGAGUGCGAAACGCACGCAAAUGAGUCGUACAUGCCAUACCCGAAGCCAAGGCGAUCUAACCAUGGGCAGGAUGAAGUGGGGGUAAAACCUCAUGGAGGUCCGAACGUGUCUGUGUUGAAAAACGGUGCGAUGACCUGUGGUUAGGAGUGAUAGGCUAAUCAAGCAUGGUGAUAUCUGGUUCUCCCCGAAAUAGCCUUAGGGCUAGCGUCGGAAGAAUAGCAAUUGGGGGUAAAGGACUGAUAGGGCUAGGGGUUCUAACGAGCUACCAAACCCUGUCCAACUCUGAAUACCAAUUGCCGAGUCCCGGCAGUCAGACUACGGGGGAUAAGCUCCGUGGUCGAGAGGGAAACAGCCCAGAAUACCGUCUAAGGUCCCAAAUCAUAUCUUAGUUAAUAAGGAAGUGGGAGUGCGAAGACAGCCAGGAUGUUGGCUUAGAAGCAGCCAUCAUUUAAAAAGUGCGUAAUAGCUUACUGGUCGAGCAUUCCUGCGCCGAUAAUUAACGGGAAUAAGGUAUGAACCGAAGACGUAUCAUAUACAGUGAUGUUAUCAUUGUAUUUGGGUAGGGGAGCGCUCCACAGGAGCAAGCGGUUUCGAGAGGAACCGUAUCGGCCUGUGGAGGUGAUUCUGCGGACACGAGUAGCGAUAAAAGGUGUGAGAAGCACCUUCCCCGUAAGCAUAAGGUUUCCUGAGCCAGGUAACUCCGCUCAGGGUUAGUCGGGACCUAAGCCGAGGUCGGAAGACGUAGGCGAUGGAAGACAGGUUAAUAUUCCUGUACCGAUUACAUAUUGUGAGGCAUGACACAGUCGGCCAAGACCGGAGAACCCAUUAGCUGGGUCUUCCAAGAGCAAACGGCGUUGACGGUUGGUGAAAACAGCCCGAGCCCGAAGUUCAAGUGCAAUCCGGUGAUAAACUGGAGAAGCGGUCACAGCCAAACUGGCAAGAAAAGUGCCAAACACGUUAAUGUGUAAUCGCCCGUACCACAAACUGACACAGGUAUGCGAGGCGAGUAGCCUAAGGGGCUCGAGAUAACUCUCGUGAAGGAACUCGGCAAAUUAGCUUCGUAACUUCGGGAGAAGAAGCGCCUAUGUAAGGGUGUCAAAGCCCUGAAAGGCCGCAGAGAAAUGGUCCCUGGAACUGUUUAUUAAAAACACAGGUCUACGCAAAGUCAGAAAGACGACGUAUGUAGACUGACGCCUGCUCUGCGCCGGAAGGUUAAGGGAAGAUGUGAGGGGGUACGCUCCCAGAGCAUUGAACCGAAGCCCCGGUUAACGGCGGCCGUAACAAUGACGGUCCUAAGGUAGCAAAAUUCCUUGUCGGGUAAGUUCCGACCUGCAUGAAUGGCGUAAUAACAGGGGUACUGUCUCCACGAGAGGCUCGGCGAAACUGUAGCAGUGGUGAAGAUGCCACUUACCCGCGACUAGACGGAAAGACCCUGUGGACCUUUACUGUACUCUACUAUUGGGUUUUUGCAUUCACUGCGUAGGAUAGGUGGGAGACUUUGAAGUUCCAAUUUCGGUUGGGACGGAGUCACC
rnacentral:rRNA from 1 species